GACGAACGCUGGCGGCGUGCUUAACACAUGCAAGUCGAACGGAAAGGCCCUGCUUUUGUGGGGUGCUCGAGUGGCGAACGGGUGAGUAACACGUGAGUAACCUGCCCUUGACUUUGGGAUAACUUCAGGAAACUGGGGCUAAUACCGGAUAGGAGCUCCUGCUGCAUGGUGGGGGUUGGAAAGUUUCGGCGGUUGGGGAUGGACUCGCGGCUUAUCAGCUUGUUGGUGGGGUAGUGGCUUACCAAGGCUUUGACGGGUAGCCGGCCUGAGAGGGUGACCGGCCACAUUGGGACUGAGAUACGGCCCAGACUCCUACGGGCGGCAGCAGUGGGGAAUAUUGCACAAUGGGCGGAAGCCUGAUGCAGCAACGCCGCGUGCGGGAUGAUGGCCUUCGGGUUGUAAACCGCUUUCGCCUGUGACGAAGCGUGCGUGACGGUAAUGGGUAAAGAAGCACCGGCUAACUACGUG
rnacentral:rRNA from 1 species